rnacentral:rRNA from 1 species
GACGGAGGGUGCAAGCGUUGUUCGGAUUCAUUGGGCGUAAAGGGUGCGUAGACGGCUUAUUAAGUCAACUGUUAAAUUCUCCGGCCUAACUGGAGGUCAGCGGUAGAAACUAAUAAGCUUGAGGUUGGAAGAGAGAAGUGGAAUCCUCGGAGUAGCGGUAAAAUGCGUAGAUCUCGAGAGGAACACCGAUGGCGAGGGCAGCUUCUUGGUCCAAAUCUGACGUUGAGGCACGAAAGCGUGGGGAGCGAACAGG